UAGAAAGUAGGCUUCAGAUAAAACUCAAGGAAACGGCAUUCACAAAAAAAAAAUGGAAUAACAAAACAAAUAAUCAAUACGACUAGACAAGUUUAUUUUCAAAAUGUUUGUUAAAAAAACUAGGACGGAGUUUUUGUAUUUCAUAUUAUUGCAACCAUAUUUCUGCUUCUUUGUGUGUGUGUGUGUGUGGGGGGGGGCUAUUUUAUUUUUUCAAAUUUUCCAUAUGCUCUGUUAUUUUCUCUUUUUAUUGUCAAUUUUCCUCUAUUCCGUAAACCCUAUGUAGACCCUCAUAUAUUUGAAUAAAAGAAGAUAUAAGUUUUAGGGUGCGCUUGGUUGUCGUGUUCUGAACAGGUGCUGUCUGGUUUGAAUCCAGAAGUUAAUCGAACGAAUUGGAAGCGGAUGUAUAUUACUGCUGGUAAACGUGGCCUAAAGGAACAAACUCGGCAUUUCGAAAACUCGGAUCAUAAUAAACUCGGCCUGCUAGUAUUUAUAUAAAUAAAAAAUAAUUAAGUGAACAAGUCGGCAUUGUAGAU
rnacentral:lncRNA from 1 species